UGGUGCAGUGGUUAGGCACUCAGCUGCUAACUGAGAGAUCGGUGGUUUGAAUCCACC
rnacentral:tRNA from 1 species